rnacentral:rRNA from 1 species
GUGCCAGCCGCCGCGGUAAUACGUAGGGACCAAGCGUUGUUCGGAUUUACUGGGCGUAAAGGGCGCGUAGGCGGCGUGUUAAGUCACUUGUGAAAUCUCUAAGCUUAACUUAGAACGGUCAAGUGAUACUGAUGUGCUAGAGUGCAGAAGGGGCAACCGGAAUUCUUGGUGUAGCGGUGAAAUGCGUAGAUAUCAAGAGGAACACCUGAGGUGAAGACGGGUUGCUGGGCUGACACUGACGCUGAGGCGCGAAAGCUAGGGUAGCAAACGGGAUUAGAUACCCCCGUAGUCC